AGGCGUGAAUGGUCUUUUAAUCUGAACUAACUCUUGAGGAGACGCGUCUAACGUUCUUGAAGGUAUGUCUAAGGAUAGGUUUGGUUUCCUCCAAUGUUUAGCAUGUGUUGUUUCUUCAGUAAUCGUGGAUGACCUCUCGAUCUUAGGUGUUGAAAUGACAAAAUCAUUUUCACAAACACCAAUUUUUUCAUCAUUAUCAACAACCUCA
rnacentral:misc_RNA from 1 species